UUAGAUAUUGUUCAUAGGUUUCAGGAG
rnacentral:sRNA from 1 species